UCUUUUUCUAAUCUGCCGUGUUUUCUUGUCUCUCCCAUGAUCUGCAAAUAAAGUCCCAAAAAUAAAAUUAGUCAAUCACAAUUUAUUUCAAUUGAUUGUGUAAUCAAUCCCUCCAAUCAAUUUCAAUCCUCCCCAAAUUACUCACUCACAAAUCACGGUUAUAUUUCAAUUUUCAUACCCUAAUCUCUCAUCUCUUAACAGUCUCUCACACUUUCCCUCUCACAAUUCAACAUUUUUGUUCCUGCUCCAAACAAUAACCGAAGGGUAGACAGAGAAGAGUUCAUCUUUUUUUCCCUCAAUCCAAAACUCACCAAGUUGCAAUCCGACAUUCGACGAUCAGGACCCAACUCAAGCUUCUUGCGAGAAUAAGUUUCUUCCUUUUUCAAUCCAAUCAAAUUCACGGAACCAAGAACCCAAUUUAGAGAAGAGGUUAUCAGCUGUUCACUCGCAAUCUACCAACAGAAGGUUGCGCGGCGACGAGCUUGGGUGGUGUUGAGUCGAACCUUAAUUUUUGUGGGAUUUGCUUUGAACUCCGAGGGGCGUCGUGUCUUCAUACAUGGCGUCACUCUUACUCUUGAAUGCUUCUGCUGAAUUAUGAUUGUUUUUCUCCAUUAUGCUUUUGAACCUCUUUUCACUCUUGGAUCACUAAUUAUGAUAGCUGUUGACUUUGGAUUUAAAGCUUGAACAUUUACUCUGA